UCAUUUUUAAUCGAUGUGAGACAUAAUCACUAACACUUGAUUUCCAACGUUAACAAAUACUACAAAAAAAAAUCAUAAAACUAUUUUUAAGUAGAGUUAACUUUUGUCAAAAAAAAAAGUACGAGUUAACUUUCUCGUGAUUUUAUAAAAAACUACACUUUUUUUCUUUGAUCGAAAAAACAUAUAUAUAAAUAUAGGUGGUUAUUCCCACCGUUUCCAACCUGUCUCUCCUCUAUCCCUAGGCCAAACUCCAACCAAUUUGAAUCUCAGUCCAUCUCUGGGAUUUUAGCCAUCUUAAAGAUCCAUAUCAGAUUUAAUCUUAUCGUUGUGCUCUCAGAGUUCCAAUAUUACUUGAGGUUCUGAUACUUGAAGACUAUUUGGGUGAGUGAUCCUUGAUUCAUUGUUGGUUUUGAAUAUUAUUCCUUGAUCCUUGAUUCAUUUUAGUGCAAACAAUUUUAUCACCACAGAGUUAUGGCUGAAUUUUUAUUUACUUUGAAGCAUGGUAUAAUUUAUCCGUGCCUUCUCUAAAUUACCUUCCCUCCAUUGCACACAUCUUUCCACCACAUGGUGCUCUGCCAAGAGAACACUAGUCAAACUCAACAGACACUCCACACCCAUAUUAAUUUUUUUUUUUGAACGGCCAAUAUAAUAAACCAAUGUCCUCUCAAGAAGAGAAAGACAUGGCUGAAGCAGUACAAGGAGCCCUACCGAAUCACCAACAAGGAUGCAAGAUAAACCACCUAAACAAGUAAGAAAAGCUAACAACCACCUACUCCUUAAACCAAAAAGGCAAGGCAAAAUAAAACAUAGGCCAACACACAUACAAUACAAUGCCUAUUAUAACACGUCAAAUCCCACCUUCGACACCCUACAAAAAAACUACCUACACAGACGCUCUCUCGGGUUUCAGCACCAUUCGUAAAAUAAGCAUGAUAGAACUUUUAGCCUAUUCAAACUCCAAUUCUACAAGAGAACCUUAAUUUCAUCAACAUCCUUAACCUUGUUGUUAAAGAUCCCGUCAUUUCUCGAUUUUCAAAUAACCCAAAUUACCGAAUGCCAAAUUAACCAAACCCCUUUCUUCAAUUUCCUUAAACGCAUCACCCCUGACCAACAACUGAUGUGAAUGAAUAAAUCCAGCGGAGUGAUAACGUGGAAUUGCAGCCACCGCAUCACAUCCAACCAAACUCUAGAUAUCACUCGACAAUGUAAAAAGAUAUGCAAUGUUUUUUUUUGAACAAUCAAAAAUGGAAUUAUAUUAACCACCAAAAGCAACUCUUUUGGCACAAGGUGUGCCAAAAGAUAUGCAAUGUUGUUUCAUCUUCAAGUCCGCAAAACAAACACCUCUUAGAGUCUUUAUCCGCCAAAUGUCGUCUUCUCGUAAGAUUAACCUUGGUUGAAAUACGAUCAAGAAGCUACACCAUUGAUGAUGAAGCUCUUCCAAAGAUUUCGAAACACCACCUCCUCCUAUCCACUCAAACCCCCCUCUACUAGCCACAAAUCUUGUAAGAUUUUGUAGCAAGAUUUCACGGAAAAAAGACCCCCCUCCUCCUGCUUCCACCACCAACAAUCAUCCACUCCACCCCUUCCAACCUUAAAAAAAGGCUUUGUAAAAGCUCAUUUUCCAAAGCAAACAACUCUCUAUAUCAUAAUUAACUUCAAGAAACUUAUUCCAAAGAGCAGUGUUACUUAAAGAAUAAAAAAUUGAGUUUUUUUUGAUCUACUAACCUCCACCCCACUUUGUCAAAAGAGUGCUCUCUUCGGUCACUAUUAUAAACAAAAGUUCAUUUUUUAGAUUCAUUUAAUAAAUGAUGUAUGUAGUCUAUAUAUAGGUCACAUACAUCAUUUAUUAAAUGAACCUAAAAAGUUAAUUUUUGUUUGUAAUAGUAACUGGAGGAGUAGAAUUUAAGUAUCUAACACCUAAACCACCUUCCCCAUUCAGCCCCCACUCACCACCACACCUACUUUCAUUGACAUAUUAAAGAAAGAAAUGUAGAAGAUAGAGAAAUCAUAAAGAAUAUAAUUCACGAUCAUUUGUCUUUCAAUGGUUAAUCAGAUAGAGGAUAUUGUUUCGUUAAAAGAUAAAUAUGUAUUUUAUUAGGAUUGUAUAUUUUCAACAUCUUCUAAAUAUAAAUUUGAAGAAAAUUAUAGCACAUAUAUUUAUAUAUAUAUAAACCAUUAUGUUUUCUGCUGAUCAGUUAUUUAGAACAUAGUCCUUCAAAAAAAAUUAUUUAGAACAGUGUCUUUCAAUCAUCAAUUAGUUUUUAUUUUAUUUUUACAAAUGCCAUAAAUUAGUUAAAAUAUGGAUAUUCAUUAUAUUAGCAUUGUGGUAUCUACGUAAAAAAUUAAAUAAAUAUAUAUCGUACAUUAAUUAUAAUUUACUGCAUAAAUCAUACACGUAAUAAAUAUUUUUUAGGGAAAAUUUCCUGAAUAUGUGUUGACGGUGUUGCCGUUGCAGGAAGUGGUGGCCGAGGAAGUGGUGGCCGAGGAAGUGAGGUUGUGGUUUGUGUUUUGGUAAAUAGAGAUGAACUUGCAAACUGAUUUAAAUUUAUCUGGGAAGAGGAUGAGGGAUAGAAAGAGGAAAACUAAAAGAGUUGCCAGAUAAGAAGAAUGAGAGAACCGGUUCUAUACCAUUAUGUGACAAUGGUACCUGAUUUCCCAUCGAUUACAUUUUCACUCCAUUUUUAAGUUUUUUUUUUCACUCUUUUAUAUGUAUUUUUUAUAUAUUAGUUUUACACAACUAUCUUUUUGCUAAAUAUCAUUGGAU
rnacentral:lncRNA from 1 species